GACGAACGCUGGCGGCGUGCUUAACACAUGCAAGUCGAGCGGAAAGGCCCUUCGGGGUACUCGAGCGGCGAACGGGUUAGUAACACGUGAGUAACUUGCCCCAGACUUUGGGAUAACCCUCGGAAACGGGGGCUAAUACCGGAUACGAAACAGCUUCGCAUGGCGUCUGUGUGGAAAGUUUUUCGGUUUGGGAUGGGCUCGCGGCCUAUCAGCUUGUUGGUGGGGUGAUGGCCUACCAAGGCGACGACGGGUAGCCGGCCUGAGAGGGCGACCGGCCACACUGGGACUGAGACACGGCCCAGACUCCUACGGGAGGCAGCAGUGGGGAAUAUUGCACAAUGGGCGGAAGCCUGAUGCAGCGACGCCGCGUGAGGGAUGACGGCCUUCGGGUUGUAAACCUCUUUCAGCAGGGACGAAGCGUAAGUGACGGUACCUGCAGAAGAAGCGCCGGCCAACUACGUG
rnacentral:rRNA from 1 species